rnacentral:rRNA from 1 species
CAGAGAGAGACAUGCGCGCAUAUCAAUAAGCGGAGGAAAAGAAACUAACAAGGAUUCCCUUAGUAACGGCGAGUGAAGCGGGAAGAGCUCAAAUUUGAAAUCUUCAAGGUUUUACCUUGACGAAUUGUAGUUUAAAGAAGUGUUUUCUGCUGAAGUUUUGGUAAAAGUUCUUUGGAAUAGGACAUCAUAGAGGGUGAGAAUCCCGUAUUUGACCAUUAUUUUCAGCUUUGUGAUACACUUUCAAAGAGUCGGAUUGUUUGGGAAUGCAGUCCAAAAUGGGUGGUAAAUUUCAUCUAAAGCUAAAUAUUGGCGAGAGACCGAUAGCGAACAAGUACCGUGAGGGAAAGAUGAAAAGGAACUUUGAAAAGAGAGUUAAACAGUACGUGAAAUUGUCAAAAGGGAAGCGUUUGACACCAGUGUUGUUUUCUCGAAAAUCAAUUAAAAAUGGCUCGAUUUUGUAUUGCUGAGACCUUAAAAGCUCACUGUACAUUUUUCGUGUCUUUUUUAAUGCACUUUUCGUUUAACAAGUCAACAUCAGUUUCUUUUGUUGUAAAAGGGUCAUUGGAAGGUGGCUUUCUUUUCGGAGAAAGUGUUUAUAGCCUUUGGCCUCUGCAAUCGGAGAGACUGAGGUCUGCAGCGUAGACUCUUCGGGGUUAGAUACAUUUGUGCUAAGUUAUAGCUUUUUAUAGACAACUUGUUGACUAUAAUUAGUCUUGUAGCUUACUCGCUUAUGCUAUUUUACCUACGCUUAGGAUGUUGAAGAUGUAGCACAUCAU